rnacentral:rRNA from 1 species
AUGGCGGAAGCUUCAACUCUCAAAUUUGGUCUAACACUGGCGCAGAGGUCGGGAUGUAAUCGCCUUAUUAUUAACUCGGACAAUCUGAAGGUGAUUGAAACCAUGCAGAACGGAGGACGGUCGGCGGGGUGCGUCUUCGAUGAUUGUUUUUAUUAUGCCUGUGAUUUCAUUAUUACUAGAUUCGAACAUUGUAAUAGAGAAGCAAAUAAAGUAGCUCAUGAGCUCGCUAGAUUACCUAGAUUUGUGACCUCGGAUUGGUUUGAGGAGCCUUUAAAUGAAACUGUAAUGAUUCUCACAGACGAUGUACUGGUUAUUUCUAAUGAAUAA